rfam:Larimichthys crocea isolate SSNF unplaced genomic scaffold scaffold101, whole genome shotgun sequence.
ACAAAGGCUCUUUUAAGAGCCACCCACACCCUUGUUAAAGAGCUGU